AUGGCACCUAGAGGUCUUGCAAGUGUGGCUGCUAUGUCACACGUGCGUCAGUAGGUGGCAGAGAGGAGAGAGGCUACGUCUACACUUAGUGUUCUGACCUGCACAUAUCUGAAAGAUUAGUAUUUUAACACU